rnacentral:lncRNA from 1 species
CCAGGUCUAAAUAAGUAUCUGAUUAGAGGGGAACAAUGAAAAAAAGCAGUGGAACUGGCUUCAGUAAGGUUGAGGGGGCUAGACAGAGGGAGAUAUGAACAUACAUUUUUAAAGGAACUGGCCACAAUCAAAAAAAUUUUUUGUUUUUGUAGGCUACUCAAACAGCAACAGUUUAAUAUUUUAUAAAUGUUCCCGUUAGUUUUGAAAUAACACAGCACUGUUGUGUUGCGUGCAGGUAGGGAGGCGGGGUAGUGAGAGGGCAACGAUGGUGAAUAGUGCCCCCCUCCCCUCCCCUCCCACUGCAGCCCACUCCUCGUUCGUGCACUGACUUCCAGGGGAAACCGCUUUGUUACGAACUGUAUCCACAUUUUACGCGGGUUACUCAAGUCCGCCUCAAUUAAAAAAUACAGCAGGACUACCCGGACGACGGCGGCAGUGGUAACAGCGACGGCUCCUGCGAGAGAUAGCCCUACCUGGAGACGCCAGGACCCGGGGCAGUCAUGGCAGCGAACAUGUACCGGGUUGGAGUCGGUGAUGAAGAUGAUGGUGACUAUGAGGAGGAGGAGGAUGGUGAUGAAGAGUCUCGUAGGGACCCCGGGNCCCCCUCGUUGUUUCUAAACGUCUCGCUGUUGUUGUCACACAAACCAAUAUGGUCGUCUUCAGAGUUAACAUUUUUUUUGUUUCUAUUAAAGUAAUUUUUCAACGGUUUCGCUUUUAAAAGUAAGUUUGGCUUGCCAGCCGGCUGGCUAGCGCAUUAGUUGGCUAACAGGCUAUUUGGCUCUGGUGAGAGUUGAGCAUUUUGAGGCAGAGCACGGUAACGUUAACUGCUGCCGGUCUCUGAAGUUGUACUUUCAGAGUAAUGAAAAUACAUUACGAUGGUGCCUAUUGUCUAAUCUGUAUUUUAUAUUAGACCGACCUUUUUUUUUGAGCCUAUAUCAAAUGGAUCAGCGUUCGCAUUUCAUAAUAUGUACCACUUUACAGUAACAAUAGCUACCUAGCAAGGUUAGUCUACUCGGGUUCAAGUUGACUUAUAUUUAGUUUUCAACUCACCUGGCUCGUUCGGUGCAUACUGAGGUCCGGUGUCACACUCCCGCCCCCUUGCAAUACAUUUUAAUCAUCAAAUUGGCAACUGUAUCCAGCAGUAGGCUAGUCAUGCCACAGGUUUUAAACCAAGCUUCAUUCAUUGUUAGCUGGUGUGUGAACAUGUUUCUGUUCGACCACGACAGUGUGUGUUCAGCAGCACCAGUUGUGGAUUGUGAUGGAUGGGGUCAAUGUGACCAGUCCUAGAGGAAACGAUGUUUUACUUAUUUUUAUUGGAACUAUUUAACACGGAGGAAACACUACUAUAUAACAAUAGCCUAGCCUAGUCUCUUACUAUUACUCAUGUCAACUGGCUUCCAGUUGUGUUAUGAAUCAUUUGGUUGUCAGACGAGUUAGACAAUCAAGCUAGUGUUCAUAAAAUAUAUAGUUUAGGUGGCACUGUACAGAAAUGGUGACAGUUUGUCUGUCUGCUUGUGAUCAUGCUGAUUCUGCUGAAUAGAGGACCCAUUUAAUUGUUUUGGAAAGUGGGGAAUUUAAGCCACUCAUUGCUAUGCACACAGUUGGUGCACACAGAGUAGUUUACAGCAUAUCAUUUUAAUUGAUAGCUGGGGAAUGGAACUUUUUGACAGCAGAUUCAGUACUGCUGCACACAUUUUUUUUAGAAAUGAUGGACUUUUGAUGGAACUGUUUUGACAGUUUCUCAAGAACCUCUGAAUAGCCAUUCAAUCAGUGCCAAGAUAGUAAAGGUAAGCCUACAUUUUAGAGGGAGAAAUUAUUUUGAAUUGCCAUGUCAAUCAAUAAAAUGUAUUUUAUGAAACCCUUUUUACGUCAGCAGAUGUCACAAAGUGCUUUACAGAAACUCAGCCUAAAACCCCAACGAGCAAGCAAUGCAGAGGCCGUUCAGCACAGUGGCUAGGAAAAACUCCCUAGAAGGCAGUAACCUAGGAAGAAACCUGGAGAGGAAUCAGGCUCCCAAGGGGUGGCCAGUCCUCUUCUGACCUGCUACAUUCCCUUUAGGUCCCGUUUGGCCCGACAACCACAGUCGUUGCCUCAGCUCUUUGGUUCAAUGUCGAACCACUCAUAGCAGUACACUGAAAUCUAAUAAGGUCCAGGAUCAAAUGGAUGCUUCUCUGGGUAGGUGCCUUGUCCCCUUCUCCAGUCUAGGGCAUUGCCUGGCAUCUGAGCAAAGCCGGGUUCCCCUCAAAGAUAGCUGACACUUAAAAAUACAAUGCUGUGGACAAUGCUGGAUCAUCAGAGGCAAUGAGGAGGACUUCCCUUGUGGCUGAAGCAUAGACAAAGCCUGUCACACAUACACAGUAGGCUUACUAUGACCUAAUGUUUUUUGUUUCCACACAGCAGAUCACUCUUCUGGGCCCUCAACAUUUUACACUUUAAAGUCCAUUUAGCCUUAUUCCUUCCGAUAGAUCUCUUAUUUGUCUUUGUUUUCUGGAGAGCGAGCCUCUUCUGGAGAGCGAGCCUCUUCUGGAGAGCGAGCCUCUCCUGGCAUUUAGGGUCCCUGACCAUUUUUACCCUCCAAAACCCAAGGAAAAUGAUAAAAACAAGGGUCUGUAUGGUUGCUUUUGAUUUUGGAAUCACACAGCAUUUUUGUGAACUAACAUCAUAAUAUCCUAAACCGAUGUGCUGUUUCUGGCAUAGGAGGAAAGUUGCUUGAUCAGUAGCAUCAAUCUGGCAUUUUCAGCUUAUUGUCUUGGCUAACACGCACUGAAUGAGCACCAAAUUGAAAGCACCACGGCCACUUUCCCUGUAGGUGUGUAAACUCAGGCCCCCUGGGGUCAAAGUUCAGGAGAGGAUCCAGGUAGUUGGUUGCUUGGACAAGCUUUUACUAUUCAGUUGAAUUGGCUCUUUGGUGAAACCCCCCCCCCCCCUCCCCCCCCCCCCCCC